rnacentral:rRNA from 1 species
UACGUAGGGUGCGAGCGUUAAUCGGAAUUACUGGGCGUAAAGUGUGCGCAGGCGGCCGAGCAAGUCGAGUGUGAAAGCCCCGAGCUUAACUUGGGAACUGCGCUCGAAACUACUUGGCUAGAGUGUGGCAGAGGGAGGUGGAAUUCCACGUGUAGCGGUGAAAUGCGUAGAGAUGAUGGAGGAACACCGAUGGCGAAGGCAGCCUCCUGGCCAACACUGACGCUCAUGCACGAAAGCGUGGGAGCAAACAGG